CAAUAGCGUAUAUUUAAGUUGCUGCAGUUAAAAAGCUCGUAGUUGGAUUUCGGGUGGGAAUGGCCGGUCCGCCGUUUCGGUGUGCACUUGCUACGCCCACCUUGCUGCCGGGGACGUGCUCUUGAGUUCACGCGCGGGACACGGAGUCGGCGAGGUUACUUUGAGUAAAUUAGAGUGUUCAAAGCAGGCCUACGCUCUGAAUACAUUAGCAUGGAAUAACACGAUAGGACUCUGGCCUAUCUUGUUGGUCUGUAGGACCGGAGUAAUGAUUAAGAGGGACAGUCGGGGGCAUUCGUAUUUCAUUGUCAGAGGUGAAAUUCUUGGAUUUAUGAAAGACGAACUACUGCGAAAGCAUUUGCCAAGGAUGUUUUCAUUAA
rnacentral:rRNA from 1 species